UACGAAGGGGGCUAGCGUUGCUCGGAAUUACUGGGCGUAAAGGGCGCGUAGGCGGAUAGUUUAGUCAGAGGUGAAAGCCCAGGGCUCAACCCUGGAAUUGCCUUUGAUACUGGCUAUCUUGAGUUCGGGAGAGGUGAGUGGAACUCCGAGUGUAGAGGUGAAAUUCGUAGAUAUUGGGAAGAACACCGGUGGCGAAGGCGGCUCUCUGGACCGACACUGACGCUGAGGCGCGAAAAGCGUGGGGAGCAAACA
rnacentral:rRNA from 1 species